UACGAAGGGUGCAAGCGUUACUCGGAAUUACUGGGCGUAAAGCGUGCGUAGGUGGUUUGUUAAGUCUGUUGUGAAAGCCCCGGGCUCAACCUGGGAAUGGCAAUGGAUACUGGCAAGCUAGAGUGCGGUAGAGGGUAGUGGAAUUCCCGGUGUAGCGGUGAAAUGCGCAGAUAUCGGGAGGAACACCGGUCGCGAAGGCGGUUCUCUGGGCCUGACCUGACGCUGAGGAGCGAAAGCGUGGGGAGCGAACAGG
rnacentral:rRNA from 1 species